rnacentral:pre_miRNA from 1 species
CAGCGAUCGGCUUGAGCUUACUGCGUAUCGUUUCAGUAAUCUCAUGACCGGUCAGCUGA